UUUAAGACAGUUCAGUUGGUAGAGCAUGGGAGUCUUAAUCUCAAGGCCAGGGGUUCAAGCCCCACAUUGGGCAAAA